rnacentral:lncRNA from 1 species
CCCAUGUCCCACUCCAGGAACAAAGGGCUCAUUUCCCUGCCACUGGGGUUGCUGGGCCGUCAGCUGUCCCUGCCCUCCCCAGGUGGAGGGAGAGCCACCCCACCCGAGGGCACGCCCCUUCCUCAGGGGGACCACGUCAACCACUGAGGGAUACAAGGGCUGGGGUCACAUCUUCAGGGCGCCUCUCAGAGUUGGCGAGGCCUUUGUGGGGACAGCCUGGCUGCUGAACGCCUCCCUCUGGCCACUCUUGCGUCAUCCCUUCCGUCCACAGGUGUGUGUCCCCAAAACCGCUCCUGAUAAACUUUCCGUGGCAGAUCUCCAUCACAACUGGCUUCCUGGGGAACCCCCUGUGACAUAAGCCAAACAGGAAACCAAGAAAGAGCCGCUGUGUUAAAAACUUGUCUCUUGUCCGGUGUCUCCAUGCACAGUUCCAGGAGAGCUGGUUCCAGAACGUGUUUUAAUCCUAGGGACAGGGAGCUUCCUACCACCCCCUAAACAGGCAUCCAAAUCUGUCUGGCCGGCCACGUGCAAGCCCACGCACUCAGUCAGCGUGAGAGAAGAAAACAGUCCAGGACAAGGCAGAGCCCUCUUCCUGGGCCACGAGAGACAGAAGACCACAGAAAGAAGGCAGCCCGUCCACCGCACACCUCUAAGUGGGCUGGAUCCUGCCUGAUGACACAUGUGGCCCGUUGGUGGGUUUUCCAUCUGACUGGGACAGUAGCCCCUGACUUGGAGCUGAACCCGAGCCACACAAGUUAAGUUCCAGCCUCGACUUCAGAGACUACUGUUAAGUGGAUAGUCAUUUUAGUCCUAGGAGUCUCGGUUUUCUCGUCUAUAAAAUGUCACCAAUGGCCCCAUCCUGCCUAUCUCCUGGGGUUGGGGUGAGGAUGCCCCAGAGAACGUGUUGGGAAAGCUUUGUAAGCCCUGAGGAGGUGCACAAAAGCGGAAGCCUACCGUUACGGUGAUGUUGAACUGUUUCCCACAGCUCGUCUGGCCUCCCUUUCCAGAUGUCACCUCCAGGGAGGGCUGGAGUCAGGCGCUGCUCACUUGGGUUUCCCUCCAGCCAGCAGAGCCAGCCGGGACACAGGUGGUGGCCAAAGCUGGCUGGAUGAAGGAAGGAAGGACGGAAGGAUCCAAGCACCCUUGCCUUUUUCCCCAGGCCCAGAGGCACACAGACAGCUAUGAGGGCCACCGUGACGUGGAGUCCAGCCCAGCCGUGAGGAGACCUCACCUGCCGUCCCUCUCUGUAAUCCUUCACGCCUUGCAGAUUGGUUUCUGUGCUGUCUGUGGUUAGGCUGAGACUCAGGAAGGGAAAAGGAAAAGGGGACCACGGUCACUGAGCCCAGGCACUCUGAGGACUUCACCUCACCGAUGGCUCCCAGCGCCCAGGGCCACCACUCCUCAAUGUCCAGCCUGGACACUGCACCGGGACGCCCAGCUGAGACUGUGGGGGCUCAAGUCCAGCCUGCAGUCCACUCGCCAAGCCCCGCGCCCAGGAGGGCACUUUCUUCUCAUUCAUACGAAGGCGUGACGCUGCUCAGGCCAGGGAAACACGCCUCUGUGUCUCUUGCCCAGUGUCCUUGAAACGAAAGGAAUGUGAAUGUGUGCAGGCUCGGGGGUUACACCCCUGCUGAUGUCCGACACAGACCCUGCUUCCAAGUGUGAAGAGGAUUUGAGCAGAGGAAGCUCUUAACUGAGAGAAAACGCAAAUUAUUGAACUUGUUAAAUCCUGUCAGUGUGAAUGCAAUAUGUAUUUUCCAUAACAUUUUUAGUAACAAA